rnacentral:rRNA from 1 species
GACGUAGGGCGCGAGCGUUGUCCGGAUUUAUUGGGCGUAAAGAGCUCGUAGGCGGCUUGUCGCGUCGACUGUGAAAACCCGCGGCUCAACUGCGGGCUUGCAGCCGAUACGGGGCAGGCUAGAGUUCGGUAGGGGAGACUGGAAUUCCUGGUGUAGCGGUGAAAUGCGCAGAUAUCAGGAAGAACACCCCGUGGGCUAAAGGCGGUUC